AAGACUGGUUCGGCAUCCAUUUCUCUGUUAUCAUUUCCUGAUUUCUCGUCAUCAACACGUUCAGAAUUCUUUUUUCUCUUCCUUUUGUUACUCAUCUGAUGUGUUUCAACAGUAACCAUGCACUCACUCUUGAUAGGCUUCAUAUACAAAUCAGAAAAAGCUUCAAUGGAUUUACUACUUCCAAUAUCCUCAUGGUCAGGCACUUUCUUAAAAUACGGGGAAGAUUUCACAAUUUUUCCUUCCUCUUCAUAAUAUUUCUCCCUGUGCUUCUUCCUUCUCUUCUUUCCUUUAUUAUCCUGCCUCCCAUCCAUACUUGCAUCCUUGAAGAGAAGAGAAAGAGAAGCUAGCUCCAACAAAAUUGUUGUGAUAUCGUAUCAGUACAAACGAUUAGGGCAGUAUGAAAACGGAGAGGCGCUGAUUCCUUUUGCA
rnacentral:misc_RNA from 1 species